UGUGUGUUUUGUGCUUGUUGUACAACAGGCUGUGACAUCGUUUGCAUGUUGUGUUGUUCUAUGUGCAUGUCUGUGUUGGCAGCGGCUCUGCCUAUUUUCCCGCUCCGCAUGUCACGUGAUUCCAUGGGGUGACGCGGCGUUCUCUGCGCAUGAGCAGGGCACUCCGGAAGAGAGCAGUUCGCGGUAUGGUGGGGUAGAAGUUUUCUAGUUAUAGUUGAAGCAAGUAAAAAAGCCGAGUUCAUGACCAAAAGGUAAGCCCUAGAUCGUUGUUGUCGUAUAAUAAGUAUAUUUGUUUGUAUUUGUUGCCAUCGUGUCAGUUCGGGUCCUUGUAUGGCACUCUGAGCGGAUUCGCGGACGAGAGACACUUUCCUGUUGCCGCCAUUCCUGUUCCUCAUUUCGAUCACUAGAGGUCUCCCCAGACCAUCCGAUUGCCCACAUUACGAUGAGUGUCAUUAAGAUAAGUAUAAUGCGGCCACUCGUAGCGUUAGAAUUCAACUAUACUCCGCAAUCAUUCCGCAAUUCUAUCAAUCUGCAAUUCUAUUAUGACCUUCAAUCCUGCUACUCAAUAAACCUGUCCAUCCCUCCAUCUACCUUUUGGCCAUUCCCUGUGUCCAAACGUCCUUUGCUGCCUCCUGUAUUCUGACCGAUACACCAUCUUGUACACUAUAUACCCCCAGAUCUAGCGUAUUAUCCUCCCCAACAUUGGGCGCCAAAUCCUCCUUUACAUUGUGGUCCUUCGAGCCGGAUAUAGUGUUCAGGAUGGAGCAAGAUCAAGAAAGACACCUGGAUGUGAGGCCAAAACGUCGGACGCACCCCCCAGCUUGGAUGCAGGACUUCGAGGUGGACUACGUGGGAUAUGAGCACAGCGGCCAACCACGUUGGGACUCGUUUACACCGACCCCAACAGGCAGACCGUCAUACCCACAGCAGGGACUAGUCCAGACGAUCUCCUUGCGUGCACCUCAAUUUCAUCCGGAGAGCUUCGAGGAUGCUGCUCAGCAUAGAGCCCCUCAGCUAGCCUCAAGCUUCACCCGGAGGAGGAAUGCGGAUGAUAGAACCUUAUCUGCACCUGUCCAGUCAUACCAACAACAGCCAAACCAGGACCAGUACCACCCGAACCGCCACACCGUACAAGAUGGGAAUGCGGUUCUGCGUGAGACUCACGAAGCCAUCCAUGCCGGACUGAAGGAGCUAAAUAAAGCCCGUAGUGACCUUCAGCAGCUGAUUGACGUGGCCCACUCUCUAAGAAUAGGCAUGAGUCAAGUGAACAUCCCUCUACCAGCAUGUUCCAGUCCCAAACCACCUGAUGGGGCCGUCACCACGAGCAACAGCUCGAGAUUCACUGAGUCAGAGGAAGAGGAGGAUUGGCCUGAUCCUCCGCCAUGGCCUGAACCCGAGGAAGCCCUAAACGCCAACCUCAGUGCCUUGAAUCUGGGAGCUCAUCAGCUACCUCCUUACCCGACUCCACCGGAGACCAAGCCUCUACACUACAGGCCUCAGCCACAACCAGCCCAAUUCCGUCAUCCACAGUUCAUUCCUUCUAGCCGUGAGUCCUCCCACGUUCCUCCUGUACCGCCACGUAACUUACCCUUACCUCUAGGAGCAUCCCCAACUGGUCAACCACAUCUUCAAGUGCCACACUCUCACAGAACCACCCCUUACAUGCAACCUCCAUACCCAGAGCCAGUGUACAGAGGACCCCAACCGACCAUUCCCAAGUUCACUUUCCCGGACCCUAGUGAGUUCGCCCGGCUACGUAUAGCAUUAGAGAACCUCCUCCCCUCCAAUGCUACAGAACUCUUCAAGUAUCAGGUACUAGUAGACCAUCUUAAGUUAGAAGAGGCCAAACUGAUAUCUGACGCCUAUCUAAACUCUCCAACACCCUACACGGACACCAUGACAGCUCUCUAUGACAAAUAUGGUCAACCUCAUCAGCUUGCCCUAAAGAAGAUAUCCAGCGUCCUGGACGGCCCAGAGGUCAGGCGGGGUGAUCCAAUGGCGUUCCAGAAAUUUGCCCUUCAAAUACAAUCACUGGUGGGUCUCCUCCAGACCUUGGGCCACGAAGGAGAAGUUGAACUAAGCUGUGGCUCUCACGUAGCUCGCCUACUGAGUAAGCUUCCGCCUGAACAGCGAGCCGAUUUCCGCCGUUCCCAGCCCACUCGAUCUGGAGCCACAUCCACCUUGCGGGACCUGUCAGAGUGGCUUCGCCACGAGUCAUGGUGCCAGGACUUUGACGAUCCUACCAGUAGCCGGAGCUCCAAGGAGAAGCAGAGCACUAAAUGGAACAUUCGUCCUGUGGCUAAGCAAACAGCAGUCCUGCAUAGUAGCCAGGAGCCCUCAGUGAAACUAGUUAAAGAGAAACCUGUCAAAGGGAAAGACAAGUCCAAGGUAUACUGUGCCUAUUGUGAGAGUACAGACCACUACCUCAGCCAGUGUAGUGGUGUAGCCCAGCUCACCAAAGACGAGCUGAAGAGGUGGAUCCAAGAGCACAAGCGGUGUUGGCGCUGUGCCCGUCGACACUUCGCCGCUCAGUGCGACCUCAAGAAACCCUGUAACCUUUGUCAAGGCAAGCACCUUCUCGCUCUCCACGAGAUUAACAUAAGACCUGAGAAAGUUAAGGAUGACUCACCUCCAAAGGCUGAAAGCUGCCUGACUACCUGUGCCUCCGAGUCCUUCUACCUUGACCGACCACACGUGGGGAACCGAGUCAUGUUGAAGGUGGUGCGAGUACACGUGCACUAUGGUAGUCAGAAGUUAGACACCUACGCUAUACUGGAUGAUGGGUCUGAGAGGACUAUGCUGCUCCCCACCGCUGCUAAGUCCCUAGCCCUUAACGGCGCUCCCGAAGACCUCCCACUGCGCACAGUGCGCUCGGACAUCCAAGUCUUGCAUGGCCAUACAGUGUCAUUCCGGGUCUCCUCUCCCACCAACCCUAAUAUUAUGUUUAAGAUCACUGAUGCCUUUACAGCCAGCCAUCUUAAUCUAGCCCCACAUAGCUACCCAGUUAGCCACCUACAGAGGAAGUUCAAGCACCUGCGUGGAAUCCCUAUUCCUACCUUCCGAGAAGUAAAGCCCUUGCUUCUCAUAGGUUCAGACCAGCCCCACCUCGUAACCCCCAUCGAGCCUGUCAGGCUUGGUCCUCAUGGUAGCCCAGCAGCUGUCCGCACUAGACUGGGGUGGACCUUGCAGGGCCCGUGUCAGUCGACGGGGCGGCCAGCUCACCCAGCUCAAUGCCUGUUCACCUCUGUUCCACCACCCAUGGAUGAUCUCUACAGGCAUGUGGAGAGACUCUGGCAAGUGGAUACAGUCCCCUACAGGCCAGAGAGGGAAGUGACACGAUCCAAGCAGGAUCAGCAAGCCAUAGCCCUGCUGGAGACGAAGACAGGACGUACCGAGGUGAGUGGCAUCCUUAGAUACGCUACUCCCCUGUUACGCCAUGCGGCUAUGCCACUAUUGCAAGCACCGAAAGAAUCAGUUAUGGCCCUGCUGCGCAGCACUGAGAGACGCCUCCUUAAGAACCCUGAGCAGGGACAAGCAUACCAAGCGGAGAUGCGGAAACUCAUCGAGUCAGGCGCAGUGCAGGAAAUUAGCGAGGACACCUCAUCAACGGAGAGCUGGUUUAUCCCCCAUCACCUCGUGACCCAUAACGGGAAGAACCGCCUCGUCUUUAACUGUUCUCAUCAAUUUUUGGGCCAGUCCCUUAAUCAGUUCCUCCUACCAGGCCCAACUCUAGGUGCCUCACUGCUAGCGGUCCUAUUGAGGUUCCGAGAAGGUCCCAUUGCAGUUAGUGGGGACAUUAAAGGGAUGUUCCACCAGGUCCGUCUCCUCCCUGAGGAUCGCCCCCUUCUGAGAUUUUUAUGGAGAGACCUAGAGGUAGAACAACCACCCAAGAUCUUUGAAUGGCAGGUCCUCCCCUUUGGGACCACCUGUAGCCCAUGUUGUGCGACAUACGCCCUGCAAAGACAUGUCAAGGAUCCCAGUAAGUCAAACGAUGACAUGAGGUUCUCCGUGGAGCACUGUUUCUAUGUCGACAACUACCUGCAGAGUGUGGCUACACCCAGCGAAGCAAAGGGUCGGGUGGACCGGCUCAGGAAACUCCUCGCCUCGGGCGGCUUCGAAUUGCGACAGUGGGCUUGCAAUGACCCAAAUGUUCUCAGCCACCUACCUUCAGAGCUCAGAUCCACCAGUCUAGACCUGUGGCUAGCCCAAGAUAAGUCCAACCCGUUUGAGUCGACCCUGGGCCUCAGCUGGAACUGGCAGGCAGACUCCCUAGGCUACAAGCAGCGGUUAGUCCCUUACGAUGUACCAACCUUGAGGAACAUUUAUAGAGUCCUAGCCUCACAGUACGAUCCAUUGGGAUACCUGCUGCCAUUCUCCAUUCGCGCCAAGCUCAUCCUAAGACAGCUGUGGGACAAGCAGCGAGGUUGGGACGAUCCUAACCUCCCUCCUGACCUGCUACAGGCUUGGUCCUGUUGGGAGGCGGAGCUCAAGCAUCUGCCGGACAUUACCAUGCCACGUCCGUAUGCGCCUGCGGAUAGCCACCGCGAAGGGACCACUCGGCAAGUGCACAUCUUUGCUGACGCCUCAGAAAAGGCCUACGGGGCUGUAGCCUUCCUCCGAACCGAAGACAACCAGGGUAAGGUACAUUUAUCCUUUGUUCUGGCUCGCUCCCGCAUAGCCCCUAAGCGUGUGCAUUCUGUACCUCGCCUUGAGCUGUGUGCGGCUCUUGUAGCAGCGCAGUUGGCUUCCACCCUCAAGAAAGAGCUUGCUCUCCCAGUACACAGCACAGUAUUGUGGUCUGACUCUACCACUGUACUCACCUGGCUACACUCGCAAUCCUGUCGAUACAAGGUGUUUGUAGGGUCAAGAGUAGCUGAGAUCCAGGAGCUUACGGAAGGCUUUGUUUGGCGCUACGUAGACUCAGACAACAACCCUGCCGACGACCUGACAAGAGGGAAGACAUUGAUAUCCCUGUUGGAGCCCAAUCGAUGGUCACAAGGACCCACCUUCCUUCUACAGGGUCCAACCACCUGGCCAGAAAUGCCACACGGUAUUCCACCUGAUGAUGCCGCUGAACUAAGGAAAGGUACGUUCUGUGGGUCCACCGUCACCUCACCUGACAUUGCCAUUCUACAAGACAAGACGUGCAACACCUGGCAGGAACUCAUGGACGCUACUGCAAGGGAGCUUCAUGGCCAGGCCCCUCCGAUCUACUCACCUACCGCUGAAGAAUACCGACAAGCUGAAGUACUCAUCCUUCAACGAGCCCAGAAGCAAUCCUUCCCAGACGAUUGUGCUCAGCUGUCUGCAGGGAAGCCUGUUAAAACUUCGAGUCGACUUCUUACUCUAGCGCCAGUCAUCGACACCUCCAUCGACCUAAUCAGAGUAGGAGGCCGGUUACGCCGUCUAGAGGGCCAGAACGAGGUCACCCCACACCCUAUCGUCCUCGACGCCUCACACCCUGUGACCCGCCUGCUCAUAAAGAAAUAUGACCAGGACCUUAAACACCCAGGGCCAGAGCGAGUCUUUGCAGAGUUGCGGAGGACCUAUUGGAUCAUUCACGGCCGUGAAGCAGUUCGUCGCUAUCAACGUUCCUGUGUAGAUUGUCAGCGCUGGCGGGCCAAGCCUUCCAUACCUAAAAUGGCUGACCUCCCAACCGCACGCCUCCAGUUGCAUAAACCUGCCUUCCACGCCACUGGCAUGGACUGUUUCGGUCCCAUGUUAGUAAAGAUUGGACGACGCCAUGAGAAACGCUGGGGUCUCAUCUUCAAGUGCUUGACCACCAGAGCGGUACAUCUGGACCUCAUACGAAAUAUGGACACCGAUGCUUUCCUGAUGGCUUUGAGGCGAUUCAUUGCCAGAAGAGGAACCCCCUCGGAACUGUGGUCAGACCACGGGACCAAUUUCAAGGGGGGAGAGAAGGAGCUUCGGGAAGCCUUCACAAGUAUGUGUCCAACCCUACAAAGUCAACUCGCUCCACGUAAAAUCAAAUUCAACUUCAACCCCCCAGCAGCCCCUCACUUUGGUGGAGUAUGGGAGAGAGAAGUACGAGCAGUCAAGUCUGCACUCCGCACCUGUCUAGGUACUGAGCCUAUCCAUGAGGACGUCCUCUCCACCGUCCUGUUGGAAGUGGAGGCCAUUCUCAACUCAAAACCUUUGGGCUAUGUGUCUGCUGACCUGUCUGACGUCGACCCCGUGACCCCCAACAGCCUCCUACUGGGGCGGCCUGAUGGAUCACUCCCCCAGAUCGUCUACCCGAAGAGCGAAAUCCUGAGCCGAAGGCGCUGGCGGCACUCCCAAGUCCUUGCCGACCAGUUUUGGUCAAGAUUCAUCAGGGAUUACCUACCGGGAUUGCAAACAAGACAGAAAUGGCAAGCCUCCCCCCCCGACCUCCUGGAGAAGUCAGUGGUCAUGAUCACCGAGCCACAGUUACCCCGUGCCAUGUGGCCUAUUGGUCAUGUGACGAAGGUUCAUCGCAGUGACGAUGGCCACAUAAGGUCAGCUGAUGUCGACAUUAAAGGGCGGCAGUACACCCGACCAGUAGCUCGACUGGUGGUGCUACCAGCCCUCCCAGCGGAAGUGACUCAGGACUCUCAUAAAGACUGAUGAGCCUUUGUUUGAAACAAAUGUGCCCUGCACAUUUGGGGGCGGCUGUACAACAGGCUGUGACAUCGUUUGCAUGUUGUGUUGUUCUAUGUGCAUGUCUGUGUUGGCAGCGGCUCUGCCUAUUUUCCCGCUCCGCAUGUCACGUGAUUCCAUGGGGUGACGCGGCGUUCUCUGCGCAUGAGCAGGGCACUCCGGAAGAGAGCAGUUCGCGGUAUGGUGGGGUAGAAGUUUUCUAGUUAUAGUUGAAGCAAGUAAAAAAGCCGAGUUCAUGACCAAAAGGUAAGCCCUAGAUCGUUGUUGUCGUAUAAUAAGUAUAUUUGUUUGUAUUUGUUGCCAUCGUGUCAGUUCGGGUCCUUGUAUGGCACUCUGAGCGGAUUCGCGGACGAGAGACACUUUCCUGUUGCCGCCAUUCCUGUUCCUCAUUUCGAUCACUAGAGGUCUCCCCAGACCAUCCGAUUGCCCACAUUACGAUGAGUGUCAUUAAGAUAAGUAUAAUGCGGCCACUCGUAGCGUUAGAAUUCAACUAUACUCCGCAAUCAUUCCGCAAUUCUAUCAAUCUGCAAUUCUAUUAUGACCUUCAAUCCUGCUACUCAAUAAACCUGUCCAUCCCUCCAUCUACCUUUUGGCCAUUCCCUGUGUCCAAACGUCCUUUGCUGCCUCCUGUAUUCUGACCGAUACACCAUCUUGUACACUAUAUACCCCCAGAUCUAGCGUAUUAUCCUCCCCAACAUUGGGCGCCAAAUCCUCCUUUACACUUGUGCUUAUGCCAGUGUUGUGGGUGUGGCAGGCAGGAUUGGACAAAUAAAGGUGAGUUUGUUACUCAUGUCCGGCCAGGAAAUGAUUCACAUGUUAUGAUUUUAUUAGCCACGUGUGUUAUGAUAAAAGAUAUCAUCCUGCUUUGUACAUAUUGUAUUCGACCUGAAGGAAUAAAAUUGUUGCAUAAUCCUC